UUAGUUAAAGCCAAACUAGAGGCGUAUCACUGUUAAUGAUAGAAUUGAAAUUAAAUUUCUAACUAAG
rnacentral:tRNA from 1 species